GUUCUGGAGAGAAAGGGCUGAGAACCCGGAGGCGGCGGCGGCGGCGGCGAGCCGGGGCUGCUGGUUCGCAGGGCGGCUAGCUCGCGAGGAGGCGCGGCCAGAGCGGUGGGACCGGUAACACCAAGAGCCGAGAAGACGCAGGGACCCGGGACCGCGCGCGGGAGGAAACGCGGCGGCCGCCCAAGCUGUCACCUCCAGCCUCUCCCCUCUCGGCCGCCUCUGCCAGCAGCCAGAGCCGGACUCACUGACAAGCCGCAGAGAGAGACACACUGAGAGGGAGAUGAUUAUUAGUUGCGUUGAGUCAUCAGGCAAAGACCCCGAGGGCUCUCCCACAUCUCCCGCAGCAAGAGCCACCGAUCCCCCUUAAGAAGCGUUGACUGUACGGCGGCGCCAGAGGGCCAAACUAAGUUCGGUUUCGGGAAACGCUCUCGGGAGCAGUUCUGUAAAUCCCUGCUGGGAGCAGAGACUGCGAAAAGCUGAGUCCGCCGAUCGUGCCCGGGACAAGGCUGCCUUCCACUCGCCCUCGCCGCAUCUACCUGGUAGGCGGCAUGCGCACGGGCUUAGAGGCUUGAGAGCCUCUGGAAGAGAAAGGGUCCCAGGAAGGAAACCUGCCCCCGGCCUAAGUGUCGGCGCCCAGAUCACCACGAACCCCGCACCUAGGCGCCGCCCACCAAGUUCCAAAGAAGUCCGAGGCGACCUGGGAGUCGGUCGGAUCCCAGCCGAGAAAAGAAACAAGCAGGAUAGCAAUUCUUAGGGGAGCCACCCUGGGAGUUUUAGGCAGCGUUUGCCUUUCCCUGGUUUUCUUCACCAAGCCCCAUCCUCCCCCCGCAUACCACCCCCAGUCAAAAGAGUGGGAGAAAAUGCACAGUUCGAAGUCGGUGAGAGCAAAAAUGGGUCUAGUAAAUCAACCCGUGGUGGUAGCUAAAAGGUUUGGGGCUGCAAAGAAACAAACUGUAAGUUUUGAGCAACAAACUUUUUCUUCAAUCUGUAAUAUGUCGAAAUGGGAAGGGGGUGUUGCAAAAGCCAACUACCACUGUCAAACUUAGCCCGUUUACAACAUGGGGAAAGGCGUAUUUCUUACUAAUAUCUCAACAACGAUAACAAUGCUGUAUCCUUCCUUACCUUGAUGUUGAACUGCGAAUCCUCCUCCGGAUCAAUGUCCAGGAACUUAGAAGAAUUGGUGAUAUUAGGAGUUCAGUACUUCUGGAAAAAAAUGCAAAUGGUUUAGCCAGGAUCUUUCCUGUCUGAUUCGUCACUAUUAUUAUAUCUGAUGAUGCGAAUGGUUGGAGCGAUUCAAUCCUAAGUCAUUAAUGAGCUAUUUUAUAAACACCACUGUCUGAAGAUCUUCAUUUACAUUUUGCUAAGGAUCACUUCGCUAACCUCACAGGCUUGUGUCAACAGCAUGAUUUGCAGGACUUCAGUUACACUCUUAUAAACAACACGGCUGUAUUGUUAAUCGGUUAAUAUUUUAUAAAGUGUAAAUAUUUUAUUAUGUUUUGAAGGGAACUAUUGAUUCUAAAUUAUUAAACCCCUGAGAAGGACUAUUUAAAUGAAAUAUACAAUUAAGUACAAUUAAAUGUACAUUGUGGUUAGUUUGUUUUCAGAUUCUGCACCCUUUUAAAUUCAUUGCUUUUCUCUUUACUGGAGUUUCCUCUUGUCCAUUUCUGAUACUGAAAAAAAUCUAUCAUGUUAGGAAAAAGCCUAAAUUAUUUAAAGUUGCAUUAAACUUAGAGGAAAAUGUCAAAUACGAUUAAUUAUGACCAGAAAUGUAUUUUGGAUGUUUGUAGAGUUGUAUUUCAUAUCACAUUUUACAAAUUUCUUCCGAUUUAAAGGAGAGUUCUAGGAAGUUUUGUGAUCUAUGUCCGGUGUGGGUUUUUGUCCUCUCGAGUUUUGUCUCUAAUAAAGGCCUUUUUUGUUUCAAAUUACAUACGCUUUUUACUGCACAAUUUUUGUAUUGACCUUAUUUCAACUGAAGCGAUUAUUUCCAGCAGGUUUAAUUUCGACAAUAAGAUAUAUUUUAAUAGUUUUACCUUUCGCUAGAAUUUUGUAUUGUUUAAAACAGUAAAUGAAUAAAUUUGCUGAUGAUUCAA
rnacentral:lncRNA from 10 species